UGCGUAGGCGGAAAAUUAAGUCAGUAGUGAAAUCCUGCAGCUCAACUGUAGAACUGUUAUUGAUACUGGUUUUCUUGAAUGUAGUCGAGGUAGGCGGAAUGUGUAAUGUAGCGGUGAAAUGCUUAGAUAUUACACAGAACACCGAUUGCGAAGGCAGCUUACUAAGCUACGAUUGACGCUGAGGUACGAAAGCGUGGGGAGCGAACAGGAUUAGAUACCCUGGUAGUCC
rnacentral:rRNA from 1 species